rnacentral:tRNA from 1 species
GGGUGAGUAGCUCAAUGGUAGAGCAUGUGAUUGCAGAUCAUAUGGUUAUUGGUUCGAUUCCAAUCUUACCCU